UAAUCAGCCUUCUGAAACAUGGAGUCAAGAUUCUCUCUCUUCACUUGUCCUGGGACCCUUGAACACAACCAUAGCUGCCUGAGGUGAGGAGAAGCUGCCACAGGUCUCACUUGAAGCUGGAGAGUCCAGCUGGAUUUUGUGAGUGCCCCAGGCACAGAGGAAGCUCCCACUGAAGUUUGUACUUCCCAGACCUGAGGGGAUUUUGUAGAGCUCCAGAUAUGGAUGACAGGGCUGCUUCUUGUUCUGGUUAUUUAAGUUUCCAAAGACUGCAUGGUGUCCAGUGAAAUCAGUCCAGCUUGCCAUGAGGCUUCACUGCCCAGUGCAGAGGAUCCUUGGAGGCAACAGAUGGGAAAGAGAUGUCAGCUCAGCAGCAAGAAGGGAGCCUUUGAACGGGAGUGAGGGCAGCACUGAGAGAAGCAAUGGAACAUUUAAAGUUGGUAAAGAGCACUUAUGGCUGGGGUCCAAGUGAAGGUGGCUGAAGGCAGGGUCUCAGGUGGGGCAGGGUGUUUAUGUCCCAGCAGGAGAUGCCAGAAGAUAAUGGGAAUACUUUUUCUGUUUCAUCACGUUUCUCAGGAAAAAACAGAGGGUAAGGCAAUGCUGAAAUCCUCAGAGGAACAUGGAAAAGCAUUUAUUGUCUCCAAAACAUGAAAAGAAAAACUAUCAGAUGAAAACUGAUCUAUUUCAGCUAUUUGCACUUGAAUGUCUAGAAUUUACAAAACCUUAUCUAAGAGGGUGGCUCUUCCUUGAUUGCUUCUAGUCCUGUUCACUACCAAAGAUUAAACCUUUAGAGACUUGGGCUGGAAACUUCACCAGAAAUUGCUGGUGAACCAAAAUAAAAAUGGGGGAAGCUGAGUAAACAUAAACUAACUGUGUUAAGUGUCUGUCUCUGAAGGGUCAUAAAAUCUAUUUUGAGAAGCUCAGCUGUAAGUUUAAGCAUCAGGAUAGCUUUAAGUAACUCAGCCUGUUUUACAGGUGUUUUAAAGCAGCCUGGAAAAGAACAGGAGGAUUGCUCAUGCUGAGGGUCUCCAGGACAGGACACACUGUCUGUCUCCUGUGCUGGUGUAGGGAUGUGCCAUGAGCACUACAGCACUCUGCUGCUUCCAGCCUGUGGAAUAACUGAUGGAUAACACAAGAGAGGAGUCCCUGUGAGUGGGUGGAUAAUAGAAAUGUUCUGGACAGUCAGAAUGCUGCUGGAGAUGACAUAUGGGAAGAAAAUCACUGCUGGAGUGCAUUUGAGGAGGGCCUACCUUCUGGUUAUCUGUGUAACAGCUGAGAUCAAAGAACCUUUACAUGUGUUGGCUUUUAAGCAUCCCUGAAUCCAGAGCUGGGCAGGGAGAGCUAAGGAGAAGAAAAGGCAACACUGGAAGACUGAGGCAGUUGAUCCAGUGCUGGAAAAGUGUUCCCAGGUAUCUUCUCAAGGAGCAAAAUUUGACAGUGUGGCUGUUUCCUGCUCCUGAAAAAGCUCCCUGUGUCCAGCACAGAGCCACAUGCAGCUCUUAACUCAUUACCUGGCCAUGGAUCAUCAAGGAAGUUGCUAAUACCUGUGAAAUUUGGUCCUACCAUGAGAAAAUGGUUGUUAGUAUGGCACUCCAUCCUUCAGUAAAUAUGCUGCAUGUGGAUAUUUAUAGUCCUGCCUGCUCCCUUCAGUGAGAACAGGACGUUCUCCCUCCCAUAAGCUCUGUACAGCUGCCAGGAGAGAUGGUGGAAGCCUUUCCUCCCCUCACCUUCCGUGGAUGUUCAUUGGUUUCAGCUCCACAGCCCCUGCAAUAUCCAAGGAUCUGUGUAAGUGUUUGAAAGGAUCUAAUUUAAAAGGCUAGCUGUCUCUUCUAGGCAGUGCUGGUAUCCGUGGGUGAGUUUGAUUGGCUUGCAGACCAUGUGUUAAUUUCAGGGACAAGAAUAAAAAGAGGAAAAAGCCAGUUCCCAUCUGCUCACUGAGCUGCUCCUAUCCUUGGGGACACACAGCUUGUGUCCUGAGCCUCUCUGACAGCGCUGUGGGGUGGUUCCAGGCAGGUGUGGGGGUGACCUGCUCCCCUCCCUCUCCCUGCCCUUCCUGGCAUCCCUGUGUCCAUCCCUCGAGGAGCCUGGGGCAGCUGGCUCAUCCCCCUGGGUCCGGGGGCCUUGGGGCUGAAAUCAAAGGGAAUUGCUUGGACACCAAAAGCUUCCAUCAGAUACACCUGGUAUUUGUGAGAACUGCUCCCUGCUGAUGAGUCUGGGCACAGAGCAACGAGGAAUUCUCAGGAAGGUUGGAUUUCAAUGGGGAUGACUCUUUUUCCCUGCCAGCUGUUUCCCUUUUAGCUGUGUUCUCUCUAAUGAAAUUGCCCAUUCAGCGCUGGGUUUGUAAUUUAAACUGAGUGCUAUAGAUUAACAGUUGUUGCUGCUUUAUUAUUGAAAUGAGAGUCAUGAGAUCAAUUUAACUCUUCCUGGCUUCAUUAUUUGCUUAAGACAAUAGACUUAUCUCUUCAAAUUCUAUUGCUCUGUGGGUAUUUUUAGCUUAAUUAUCAUAGAUAUUAGCAACAAUCAAGAAAGGUUUCUUAGGUGCAAGUGCUUGCUCCUUGGAACACUAGGUUCUUAUAGAUUUGGUACUUUUAACUUAUCUUCCUCUUUUGUAGUCAAUCCAGUCUGCUCUCAGAAAGAAGCAACCAAACAGGAACAACAGC